ensembl:rRNA 5S_rRNA 5S ribosomal RNA
GUCUACGGCCAUACCACCCUGAACGUCCCCGAUCUCAUCUGAUCUCAGAAGCUAAGCAGGGUUGGGCCUGGUUAGUACUUGGAUGGGAAACCAACCAACCACUUGUGAAAUAAAUGGUUUGCAAAUU